rnacentral:rRNA from 1 species
AGUGAACGCUGGCGGUAGGCCUAACACAUGCAAGUCGAACGGCAGCACAGUAAGAGCUUGCUCUUACGGUUGGCGAGUGGCGGACGGGUGAGGAAUACAUCGGAAUCUACUUUUUCGUGGGUGAUAACGUAGGGAAACUUCCGCUAAUACCUCAUACGUCCUACGGGUGAAUGCAGGGGAUCUUCGCACUCUGCGCGAUUCAAUGAGCCGAUGUCGGAUUAGCUAGUUGGCAGGGUAAAGUCCCACCAAGGCGACGAUCCGUAGCUGGUCUGAGAGGAUGAUCGGACACACUGGAACUGAGACACGGUCCAGACUCCUACGGGAGGCAGCAGUAGGGAAUAUUGGACAAUGGGCGCAAGCCUGAUCCAGCAAUACCGCGUGGGUGAAGAAGGCCUUCGGGUUGUAAAACCCUUUUGUUAGGGAAGAAAAGAAGUAGAAUAAUACGCCGCUAUUCUGACGGUACCCAAAGAAAAAGCACCGGCUAACUUCGUG